rnacentral:rRNA from 1 species
UACGUAGGUGGCAAGCGUUGUUCGGAAUUAUUGGGCGUAAAGGGCGCGUAGGCGGUUUGUUAAGUCGGUCGUGAAAGCCCGGGGCUCAACCCCGGAGGGUCGACCGAUACUGGCAGACUAGAGUACAGAAGAGGUAACUGGAAUUCCCGGUGUAGCGGUGAGAUGCGUAGAUAUCGGGAGGAACACCAGAGGCGAAGGCGGGUUACUGGGCUGAUACUGACGCUGAUGCGCGAAAGCCAGGGGAGCAAACGGG